rnacentral:rRNA from 1 species
CAGUAGCCGCGGUAAUACGAAGGGUACAAGCGUUAAUCGGAAUUACUGGGCGUAAAGCGUGCGUAGGCGGUUUGUUAAGUCUGUUGUGAAAUCCCCGGGCUCGACCUGGGAAUGGCAAUGGAUACUGGCAAGCUAGAGUGUGUCAGAGGAUGGUGGAAUUCCCGGUGUAGCGGUGAAAUGCGUAGGGAUGUGGAGGAACACCGAUGGCGAAGGCAGCCCCCUGGGCCAAUACUGACGCUCAUGCACGAAAGCGUGGGGAGCAAACAGGAUUAGAUACCCCUGUAGUCCCUGUCUCUUAUAC